rnacentral:lncRNA from 1 species
CACACGGCGACGGCGAUGAACAGCGGACGCGUAAAUCAACUGAUCAAACUUAACCUUCAAUCCGGAGUCCUUGGCUGCGAUGGGUUGAGUUAAGUUGAAACGAAGGUCAGAUGCAAUUAGCCGUCCAAAAAGUAUUAGAGGGUCAUAGUUGUAAGAGUGUUGCCAGUCAUUUAGAAGUACCAAGAACUACUUUUUUGAAAAAGUGUAAAGAUCAAAACCAUGAUAAACCAAUCAAAGUUGUAGGUUUAAGCGCAUUUUUGGUGAUGAGCAAGAGAUUGCUUUUAAAAUCAACAUUGAAAGCAUGGAGAACAGCUUAAUGGGAUUAACAUCAUUUGAUGUCAGGAAACUAGCGUUUGAUUUUGCAGAAACAUUAGGAAUUCCUCAUCACUUUAAUCGUAUAAAAGGGCUCGCUGGCAAGGGCUGGAUGAACAACUUUUUAAAACACCAUGAUCUAUCUCUCAGAAAAAGUGCAAAUGUCAAUGAGAAAUAUUUUCUCUGUAUUUGGCAAAGCAUUUCGGAGGGGAUUCCGCUAGAUCUCCUCGAGUCGGCUUACUCUCUUUAAUUCUAUUUUAAUCUCUAUUUAUUAUAUCUCUUAAAUUCACAAAUCUUGCUCUCCGCGCAACAAAGCGCCAAUCCCUACUCUCUCGCACUCACGCACACUCGAUUCUCUCUCUCUCUCUCUCUCUCUCUCUCUCUCUCUCUCUCUCUCUCUCUCUCUAGCCCUUCCUUCAAUCAGAUGAACCCGAUAAUCAUCUUGUGUUAAGCGGUUAUAAAUUCCUUCGGCACGAUCGCGUAGGGCAGGAAGGUGGCGGCGUUGGUGCUUAUAUUCGUGAUACGUACACUGUAAAUAUUCUAGCGCAAUCUGAUAGCAAAUAUGAUAACACGCCCGAAUUCUUUGUUCUUGAAUUAAUAAACGGUUCAUUUAAAAUCCUUGUCGCUGUACUGUAUCGUCGACCUACUGCUGCCUAUCCCACUACCUUUGCAAACCACCUGACCAUGUAUCUUCCGCACUACCUGAAUGCAGUCGUCACCGGGGACUUCAAUAUAAAUAUGGAAACGCUAAAUUAUGCUUCUGACCCCUCACAGACUUGCCCUUGGCUGGCUGUCAGCAAAGCGCCGGCGUGAGUACCUUCUCGCUGUCCAGGCAUACAGUGCUCUUACGCGAAAAUCUCCGGCCUACCUUCUCUCACAAUUCUCCCUUUCGAGCUGCGAUUGCGAGAUACGUCGCUUGGCGCAAAACCCUCCGCCUGUGUGCCGCUCUACGCAGCCAGCACAGUAUCAGAAAAGGCCGGAGAUUCUUUUAAGGAGGAGGAGGUACUUUAAAACUGUGAGAAAACCUACAACUUUACUGUCUUUGAAGGCGACUUUAACAUCGAGUGCAAAUCAGAUUCAUCGACAAGGAAUACCCUCGCAGAUUCGCUGGCCAUCUGUCAACUAGUGCUAUUGCCGUUUAAUCCUACACAUCAUGACGAUAACUGCGAGCCCUCCACGAUCGACUAUAUCUGUGUCCCAGAUGCAGCCAAAGUUACUACGCAUUAGAAAAAACAGAUGCGCGAUAUAUCAAAUCACGAUGUCCUGGUAGCUACGCUGGAGCUUGCUGUUCCCGAUAUUGUUCCCGGGCCAAUAACGAGACGAUGCUAUAAAGGGUUCAAUAUCAACAAUCUUUUGCGUGACCUUGCUUGUGUGGAUUGGCAACCGCUAUAUGCAUCGCAGGAUGUUGGUUUCAAGGCACGAUACACUGAAAAAAACACAGCCAUUUUAACUGAACUCGCACCAGUAAUCCGUCAUUGUACGAAGA